UGCAUACAUGACUGUAAAUGGCUUUGGAUAAAAGUGUCUGCUAAAUGGCAUGUA
rfam:Salmo salar isolate Sally breed double haploid chromosome ssa06, whole genome shotgun sequence.